rnacentral:tRNA from 1 species
CAGUAUAUAUUUUAUAAAAAUAUAGAUUUUGGGAAUCUAAGAUACGUUAAUAGUUACGUUAUACUGA